UACCAGCUCUCCGAGUGGUAGGGAUGAUUAUUGGGCUUAAAGCGUCCGUAGCCGGCUUAGCAAGUCUCCUGUUAAAUUCAGCGACCUAAUCGUUGAGCCGCGGGAGACACUACUAGGCUAGGAGGCGGGAGAGGCCGACGGUAUUCUCGGGGUAGGGGUGAAAUCCUAUAAUCCCGGGAGGACCACCAGUGGCGAAGGCUGUCGGCUAGAACGCGCUCGACGGUGAGGGACGAAAGCUGGGGGAGCGAACCGGAUUAGAUACCCGGGUAGUCCCAGCUGUAAACGAUGGCGGGCUAGCUGGUUGGGGUGGCUACGAGCCACUUCGAGGUGGCGCGAGGGGAAACCAUUAACGCCCGCCGCCUGGGAAGUAUGAUCGCAAGAUUAGAAAACUUAAGGAAUUGGGACGGGGGAGUACCAACGAAGGGGUGAAGCUUGCGGUUU
rnacentral:rRNA from 1 species